CCACCUGCCGCUGGCCCGCCACCGCCGCCACUGCCGCCGGCGGCCACCACCCCUUGGCCGGAAAAAUCUUUAAAUUUUUACCACUUCUUCCUUUCAUCCUCCUCUACACAAAUCCGCAAACCAUUCAUUCAUAUUCAUAGCCAAACUCCGUAGAUCUAAGAAAAACCAAACAUUUUUUUCUUCUCUUUAAAGACUUACAAAGUUUCGGUCAUCCCCGUCAUAUAUCCUUUACAUAAAAGUGUAGAGCUCUUCAAGGGCUACCCUGUGAUGUAAAUUUUAUGUCCAAAAUUCAUCAAAAAAUUUCCGGUGAAAUUUUCCGGCGACCUCUAUUCAUCUGAAAAUUUAUGUCAAUUGUUUUCCCCUCUCAUCCUCUAUCCAAAUUUGUCAUUAUCACUUUUUUUUUUUAACCAUAGAAGUUGUUUUGAUGACCGGACUUGUAUUGUUUUGUUAGUGUUCUUCAAGUUCAUGUUUAAGUUGUUGCUUGAGUUUUAUUAUUAUUAUCAUUAUUUUUAUUUU
rnacentral:lncRNA from 1 species